rnacentral:misc_RNA from 1 species
CUUGGUCAUCCAUCUGAAGAGGUUCAAAUACAUUGAGCAGCUGGGUCGAUACAAGAAGCUAUCUUAUCGAGUUGUCUUCCCACUUGAGCUGAAGCUGAGUAACACAAUGGAAGAUGCAGAUAUUGAAUACUCAUUAUUUGCAGUAGUUGUUCACGUUGGAAGUGGGCCAAAUCAUGGACAUUAUGUCAGCCUUGUGAAAAGCCACAAUCACUGGCUAUUUUUUGAUGACGAAAAUGUGGAGAUGAUUGAUGAGUCUGCUGUGCAGACAUUUUUUGGGUCUGCGCAGGAGUAUUCAAGUAAUACAGAUCACGGGUACAUCUUGUUUUACGAGAGCCUUGGCGCUAGUAGCAAGAGUUGAGAAGAGGGAGCUUUGGUUUUACAAGUAGGCAUUUUAAUCAUUUGGACUGGCUUAUCUUUUUCUUAUUUUCUGUUAUUAUUGUUUUUCUUUUUCUUUUGUCCUUCAACCACUGGGAAUAGCUCUCAAACUUGGACAUCUGAGAUGAUAUGGGUUGUGAAAAAUGUAUACUUGGGUUGUUUCCAUGUACAGUGGAUGGUGGAAGCACACAGUCCUUUUGUUUUUUCAGAAUAAGAAGAAAGAAUAUCAGUGUAUAUGGUGUGAGAGAAAUCCACAGACGCUUGUAUUCUUCAUGGUUGAGAAUGUUUAAUCAAACAUUAGAAAUGAAAUCCAAUUGGAAUUGCUUGGAG